GUGAGCCGUACUUGGACUAGUAA
rnacentral:miRNA from 1 species